ensembl:snRNA
GUGCUGUACAAGAGAAGAGAAGGUUAGCUCUCCCCUCAACAAGGAUAGAGGAGACCCUUGGGCCUGUUAACAGCACACAGUUAAAGCACUACCCCCUACUUGUGGCAUCAAUAGGAGACAUAGA